GGGGUUAGCGUAAGCGAAGCUCUUGAUCGAAGCCCCAGUAAACGGCGGCCGUAACUAUAACGGUCCUAAGGUAGCGAAAUUCCUUGUCGGGUAAGUUCCGACCUGCACGAAUGGCAUAAUGAUGGCGGCGCUGUCUCCAGCAGAGGCUCAGUGAAAUCGAAAUCGCUGUGAAGAUGCAGUGUACCCGCGGCUAGACGGAAAGACCCCGUGAACCUUUACUGCAGCUUGACACUGAACUUUGACCUUACUUGUGUAGGAUAGGUGGGAGGCUUUGAAGCUGGAACGCUAGUUCCAGUGGAGCCGUCCUUGAAAUACCACCCUGGUAAUGUUGAGGUUCUAACUCUGUCCCGUGAUCCGGGACGAGGACCGUGUCUGGUGGGUAGUUUGACUGGGGCGGUCUCCUCCUAAAGAGUAACGGAGGAGUACGAAGGUGCGCUCAGCGUGGUCGGAAAUCACGCGUAGAGUAUAAAGGCAAAAGCGCGCUUAACUGCGAGACCCACAAGUCGAGCAGGUACGAAAGUAGGUCUUAGUGAUCCGGUGGUUCUGUAUGGAAGGGCCAUCGCUCAACGGAUAAAAGGUACUCUGGGGAUAACAGGCUGAUACCGCCCAAGAGUUCAUAUCGACGGCGGUGUUUGGCACCUCGAUGUCGGCUCAUCUCAUCCUGGGGCUGAAGCAGGUCCCAAGGGUAUGGCUGUUCGCCAUUUAAAGAGGUACGCGAGCUGGGUUUAGAACGUCGUGAGACAGUUCGGUCCCUAUCUACCGUGGGCGCUGGAAAUUUGAGAGGAUCUGCUCCUAGUACGAGAGGACCAGAGUGGACGAACCUCUGGUGUACCGGUUGUGACGCCAGUCGCAUCGCCGGGUAGCUAUGUUCGGAAGGGAUAACCGCUGAAAGCAUCUAAGCGGGAAGCCUACCUCAAGAUAAGAUUUCCCUAGGACUUUAUGUCCUCUAAAGAGCCGUUCGAGACUAGGACGUUGAUAGGUUGGAUGUGGAAGCAUAGUGAUAUGUGAAGCUGACCAAUACUAAUUGCUCGUGAGGCUUGACUAU
rnacentral:rRNA from 1 species